UGAGUAGCAGCUUACAGCAUAUCACUGUUAAUGAUCAAGUCACCCCCACUCAA
rnacentral:tRNA from 1 species